rnacentral:rRNA from 1 species
GACGAACCGUGCGAACGUUGUUCGGAAUCACUGGGCUUAAAGGGCGCGUAGGCGGUCUGCCAAGUCGGGGUUGAAAUCUUUCGGCUCAACCGGAAAAGUGGCUUCGAUACUGGCAGGCUGGAGGGAGGUAGGGGGCGGAUGGAACUUCCGGUGGAGCGGUGAAAUGUGUUGAUAUCGGAAGGAACGCCGGUGGCGAAAGCGAUCCGCUGGACCUCUUUCUACGCUGAGGCGCGAAAAAGCGUGGGGGGAGCAAAACAGG